CAAGAAAUAGUUUAUAAUAGAAUGUCAGCUUUGGGGGUUGAUGGUGGGACUAGGGUCUCUUUCUUG
rnacentral:tRNA from 1 species